ACAUGCAAGUCGAACGGUACAGGUCUAGCUUGCUAGAUGCUGACGAGUGGCGGACGGGUGAGUAACGCGUGGGAAUCUGCCUUCUAGUGGGGGAUAGCCCGGAGAAAUCCGGAUUAAUACCGCAUACGCCCUACGGGGGAAANCCGGGGAUCUUCGGACCUGGCGCUAGUAGAUGAGCCCGCGUGAGAUUAGCUUGUUGGUGGGGUAAUGGCCUACCAAGGCAACGAUCUCUAGCUGGUCUGAGAGGACGAUCAGCCACACUGGGACUGAGACACGGCCCAGACUCCUACGGGAGGCAGCAGUGGGGAAUAUUGGACAAUGGGCGAAAGCCUGAUCCAGCAAUGCCGCGUGUGUGAAGAAGGCCUGAGGGUUGUAAAGCACUUUCAAUCGUGAAGAAAAGUUGCAGGCUAAUACCCUGUGACCUUGACGUUAAACGAUACAAGAAGCACCGGCUAACUCCGUG
rnacentral:rRNA from 1 species